UCCGGUGGCCAUAGUGGCGGGGACACACCCGUUCCCAUCCCGAACACGGAAGUUAAGCUCGCCUACGCCGAUGGUACUUGGGGGGUCACUCCCUGGGAGAGUAGGUCGCCGCCGGAU
rnacentral:rRNA from 1 species